GGUUCCUCGCAGCUGGUGGCGCUCUGCCCUGGGCCCGGGGAGGCAGCGGGGGAAGCGGGGACAGCCACCACGGGGGAGCCAGCUAUGUCCCUGAGAGGACCUCUUCGCUGCAGCGGCAGAGACUCUCCGAAGACUCCCAGUCCUCUCUCCUCUCCAAACCCGUCAGCAGCCUGUUUCAGAACUGGCCCAAACCACCUCUGCCGCCACUCCCCACAGGAAGCGGGGUCCCCCCUUCGGCCGCUGCAGCUCCAGGAGCCACCUCACCCUCAGCCUCCUCCUCCACGUCCACCCGCCACCUCCAAGGCGUGGAGUUCGAGAUGCGGCCACCUCUGCUCCGCCGGGCCCCAAGCCCCUCACUGCUGCCCGCCUCGGAGCACAAGGUCAGCCCUGCACCCAGGCCCUCGUCCCUGCCCAUCCUGCCUUCCGGACCCCUGUAUCCGGGCCUCUUUGACAUCCGUGGCUCCCCAACCGGAGGGGCAGGAGGCUCAGCUGACCCUUUCGCCCCUGUCUUUGUGCCACCCCACCCCGGGAUAUCCGGGGGGCUUGGUGGAGCCUUGUCAGGGGCCUCCCGCUCCCUUUCACCGACCCGCCUGCUUUCGCUGCCCCCGGACAAGCCCUUCGGCGCUAAACCUCUGGGGUUCUGGACCAAGUUCGAUGUGGCUGAUUGGCUUGAGUGGGGGGGGGGGGAGG
rnacentral:lncRNA from 12 species